UUUUAUGGAUGAGCAAAGAAAGUGGUUUCUUGAGGUGGAAUCUACUCUUGGUUGAGAUGCUGUGAA
rnacentral:pre_miRNA from 1 species